rnacentral:rRNA from 1 species
GACGAGCGCUGGCGGCGUGCCUAAUACAUGCAAGUCGAGCGAGCGGAACUAACAGAUUUACUUCGGUAAUGACGUUAGGAAAGCGAGCGGCGGAUGGGUGAGUAACACGUGGGGAACCUGCCCCAUAGUCUGGGAUACCACUUGGAAACAGGUGCUAAUACCGGAUAAGAAAGCAGAUCGCAUGAUCAGCUUUUAAAAGGCGGCGUAAGCUGUCGCUAUGGGAUGGCCCCGCGGUGCAUUAGCUAGUUGGUAAGGUAAAGGCUUACCAAGGCGAUGAUGCAUAGCCGAGUUGAGAGACUGAUCGGCCACAUUGGGACUGAGACACGGCCCAAACUCCUACGGGAGGCAGCAGUAGGGAAUCUUCCACAAUGGACGCAAGUCUGAUGGAGCAACGCCGCGUGAGUGAAGAAGGUUUUCGGAUCGUAAAGCUCUGUUGUUGGUGAAGAGGAUAGAGGUAGUAACUGGCCUUUAUUUGACGGUAAUCAACCAG